GUCGAAGGUGGGGCUGAUGACUGGGGUGAAGUCGUAACAAGGUAUCCGUACCGGAAGGUGCGGAUGGAUCACCUCCUAACAGGGAGACAACACAAUGAUUUUGAUGCCUGAGUACUUUUAUUCUUAGGCCGAAAUCCUGUCACCUUAGGUCGAUCGGUACCUCAGCUUUGAAGUCAAGAAUUAGCAGCAAUGUUGAUUGCUUGAUGGAGAUUUUCAGUUCCUAAACUUUGUCUAGGUCACACCCCAAAAGGGAUGAGACUCCUGGGCCAUUAGCUCAGGUGGUUAGAGCGCACCCCUGAUAAGGGUGAGGUCCCUGGUUCAAGUCCAGGAUGGCCCAUUCGGUGUUGGGGGUUUAGCUCAGUUGGUAGAGCGCCUGCUUUGCAAGCAGGAUGUCAGGAGUUCGAGUCUCCUAACCUCCACUGACCGAACUUGAUUCCCAUCUCCAAUUUUUUGGAGUUGAGCUCGAUUGGUGUGUGAUUUAGAUGUGUCCGCUGGAUGACCCCAGCUUCCUGUCAUUCCAAGUUUUAGAUUUUAAGUCUUGAAUUUGGUUGAUAAGAUGCUGGGCUCGGAUCAAAUGAUCAAGCAAUUGAUGAUUUGAUUUGAAGUUCUAGCAGAACCUUGACAACUGCAUAGGUGAGUCUGGAAAAAACAAAGCAUCUUACAGAUGCAUUGUUUUGAAUCUGAUCUUCUGAAAGGGAGAUUGGAUCUAGAACAAUGAAAAUUCUUUUGAGCAAGAGCCGAGACUCUUGAGCGUUCUUUGAUUGGUGUCGAGCCAAUCAGAGUUUGAUCUUGUUUUUAGCAAUAAAAACUUGAGAAUCUGCUUUCAACGGCGGUAAGCGUUCAGGAGGUUAAUUGGUCAAGCUACAAAGGGCUCACGGCGG
rnacentral:misc_RNA from 1 species